GUGCCAGCAGCCGCGGUAAUACAGAGGGUGCAAGCGUUAAUCAGAAUGACUGGGCGUAAAGGGCGUGUAGGUGGUUAAUUAGGUUUGAUGUGAAAUCCCCGGGCUUAACCUGGGAAUUGCGUCGAAAACGGAUUGACUCGAGUGAGAUAGAGGGUUGUGGAAUUUCCGGUGUAGCGGUGAAAUGCGUAGAUAUCGGAAAGAACAUCAGUGGCGAAGGCGACAACCUGGAUCUUAACUGACACUGAGGCGCGAAGGCGUGGGGAGCAAACAGGAUUAGAUACCCUCGUAGUCC
rnacentral:rRNA from 1 species